rnacentral:rRNA from 1 species
UUGGAGGGCAAGUCUGGUGCCAGCAGCCGCGGUAAUUCCAGCUCCAAUAGCGUAUAUUAAAGUUGUUGCAGUUAAAAAGCUCGUAGUUGAAUUUCGAGACCGGUUUACUGGUCGUGCUUUUGUACGUACUGGUAUUAUUGGUUUCUCCUUUCUGACGAAUCAUAAUGCCAUUAAUUUGGUGUUUUGGGGAAUCAGGACUGUUACUUUGAAAAAAUUAGAGUGUUUAAAGCAGGCUCACGCUUGAAUACAUUAGCAUGGAAUAACGAAAUAGGACGUUUGA